GGGCAUAGCACUAGAGAUUAGGCGUUCCCUUCGGGGACAGAAUGACAGGUGGUGCAUGGUUGUCGUCAGCUCGUGUCGUGAGAUGUUGGGUUAAGUCCCGCAACGAGCGCAACCCUUAUUACUAGUUGCCAGCAUUCAGUUGGGCACUCUAGUGAGACUGCCGGUGACAAACCGGAGGAAGGUGGGGACGACGUCAAAUCAUCAUGCCCCUUAUGACCUGGGCUACACACGUGCUACAAUGGAUGGUACAACGAGUCGCGAAACCGCGAGGUUUAGCUAAUCUCUUAAAACCAUUCUCAGUUCGGACUGUAGGCUGCAACUCGCCUACACGAAGUCGGAAUCGCUAGUAAUCGCGGAUCAGCAUGCCGCGGUGAAUACGUUCCCGGGUCUGUUAACACACCGAAGU
rnacentral:rRNA from 1 species